GCACCCUCUGAGAUUGAGUUGGUUUUAAAUACUUGCCAGGACCAGGGAGUACCUGCCCCAGGCAGGACUAGUCUACUCAUAUCUUUGUUGACCAAGUAUUCUUCUCUCUCUCCUUUGCUCUAACCGUCAAGGCAGAAAACAUGGAGAGUGAGAAGAAGAAAGAGGAGAGAAAACCAAGGCAAAGAUGGAGAGAAGAAGGUCUUCUUAACCUUGAUCAUUGUAUCACAGAACUUUUAAUUAUCUGAGAAUGACCAGAAGACCCAUGGGAUCUGUCUGCAUUUUCAUGCAAGCAGACACAGAGGAACUUGGCCUCAGGAGUGAACAGCAAAGACACCAGCAGAGAUGCUUUCAGAUUAAGCACUUGAGUUCCACUUGUAAAAUGUUAAGAUUACAUUUGCUUUAUUGAAGAUAAAUUUUUCCCUCUUUUUUUUAGUUCUACUUUUUGAUGACUUUUGAGGUAAGGGAUUGAAAUAAAAAUGUCUUUACCAACUUUAA